rnacentral:lncRNA from 1 species
GGGGCCUUACAACUGCAGGACUCUUAUAUGUCUUAUCCUACAUUGGGAUCCCUGCUUGUGACAGAAGUUCCCCAUUCCAGAUGGAGCUCCCUAGCACAAAACAUCAACAGGCCACAAGUGACAGCUGCAACAGCAGUGGAGCAAAGCAAACUGUAAGAAGCUGCUGCCAAUUUCCAGAGACUUCAGACUGGCACCCGAAGAGUCCACAGGUGUGAGCCACAGUGACUGCCUACUGAUUGAGUCUGGGGAUCCUUGUGAACCGCCUGAACAAUGCUGGGAAAUGCCUGUGCCUGAGUGACCCCAGCUAUGGCCAGUACUCAAUUACUACUUUGGCCUUUUGGUACUGUCCCAAAAGAAGCUGCUAUCCUGAAUUCAGUGGCCAGGGACUAUCGGCAACUGAAAGCAUUUAACAG